rnacentral:lncRNA from 1 species
UUUAAUUACAGUAACAGUUAGAUUUCUAUAUUUAUAGUCUUAUUAUACAGGGGCGGAUUCAGCUAUUUUUAAAGGGAGGGGUUCCAACUAUAUGUCCUCAUUCAGAUAUAUUGAUGGUCCCUAAAAGGGAGUUCCAACCCCCGGAACACACUCCUAGAUCCGCAUCUCUUGCGUUACAUUCAUUUUUGUAAUUAUUACCCAGA